GUGUUGGGGGGCACCGGAGAACGCGGACACGUGGGGAUGAGUGACUGUGCAAAGGUGCGUGGCAACCACGGAGGACUGCCCCAGAGGUACCACUGUAUCUGCUGGUACCACAGCGGCUGAGGUGGCUGCCACAGGUCUGAGCAGGGAGGUACGGGGGCAUCUGUGGGCAGCAGAGGGAGAGGAAGCACAGCCCAGUGGAUGCGGGGGAAAGGGACACAGCCUUAAAGCACACCAUCCAGGCUGAGACCCCCCACGCUUUCUCAGCCAGAAGAUCCCUGCCAGAUGUAGCACUGCUGCUGCUCGUGCUCAGCUGGAAGCAGGUUUUUCUCUAGCAAAGCUCCCCCACCCUACUGGGCCACCUCCAGGGGAAUGUCAGGGCCAGAACUGAGGACAAGAGAGGCUGGAGUGCAGUCAGUCCCCUCAAGCUGAGUGUUUCCAGCACACCAUCAGACCAUCCCAGCAAAGCACAGCUGCACCACAGCCACCCUCUGCCUGGACUUACCCCUCCCUGCUCUCCUGAGCAAUGCACCCACAUUGGCCUUCCACACAAUCUCAAGAGCAAAACACAGAGGAGAUGACCGUGCUCCCCACCACCACUCUCUUCUCAGAUUCAGCCUAGUGGGGCUUUGAGCUUUAAGGCCUCCUGUGUCUGUUCCUGUCUCCUAUCCUGGGCAGCUGUGUUGUGUCACUCAGAUUUUUGUCUUCUGCAAAAGUACAGAAUAGAUGUAGGUGGCCACAAAGGUAUUAGAGAGGCAUUCAAAGCUUUGGUCGCUGCUGAUGGGCAGGGUGGGGGUCGGCACAACUUUUGGGGGUGCUCGUGCUCAUGGGGCUAUGGCCUAAAGAGUGCUGCCUCCCCUACAUACUCAAGUUUCUUCUAAUGCUCCCCAUAGUGAGACAUGCAGCCACAGCAUCCAGUUGAGCACUCGGCCAUGUUGGACUCACCAGUGCUCACUCCUUCCUGCUCCUUUCCCCAGGGAUUUUGGCUCUGGGGAGCACAGGGAGGUGUCCCUGUGGCACUGAGUGCUGAGAGGCUGAAUGCUGUGACAGCCAUUCUCUGUGCGGUGUUCUUCAGAUACGUCUGGUGUUAGCACAGGCUGCUUCCUGCAAAGCCCUUUUUCUCUCAGCACUUUGUUCCCGCAGACAGGCUGAGCACACUGGGUGCUGCACCUAUGGGUACGUAUGUGUGUUACUCAGGCUGUGGCCAACCAAGGUUGGGGGAACUGUGGGACAUGCACAGAUGAACUGUGAUGGAUGGAAUUCAAAUCCUCCUAGCGCCAGAAUGAAACUAAAGGCACUCCGUCCUCUACCCCACUGCCCGGAUGCCCACCUAGCUCCCUUUGAGGGCACAGUGUGGGCAGCGAGGGGCUUUGGCACAGGGCAUCUCCCAUAUGUGGGCCACAGCACGGGUUGCAGCUGCAGCCCCAGGGCCUGCCAUGAAAACAGGCGAUGUCAGAGCAACACAGCUGCACCUAUGCCACAGAGGACAGGGAAAGCCCUGAGAUACAGCACAGAGGUCACCACGACAAGCUGGAGUAGAGGCUGGGGAAUUUAGAGUCAGGAAUGAUGAUAACACAUUUAGACUAAGUCAUACCCUCCUCUCCUCCUCCAGUUCCUCCAGCAUUCCCAGUCACUGCAGGGGCUGGGAGGAGGUGCAGGGGAAUGAUAUCACUAGAAAACAGCCCAAGCAGGACCCACAUUCCCUGCCCACUGCCAGAUCCAUGUGGUACCACUCCUGGCAUCCUCAAGGGCUGCAGCUGCUCCACAUGAGCUCUGGGGCCAUCUGAGCUCUGUCCCUGGAGCACUUGCCAGGGCCAGAACAAGUUGUGGCUGCUACAGAAUUCCCACUUCCACGGGUCCAUGCUGGUCUUACCCCAAGAGCGUAUUUCAGCACAUGCUGUAUUCAAGGCAAACUAUUCCUGCUGGGAUCUGGGGAUCCUUUAUCUCUGUUCCCAGUGCUGGGAGGAACAUGAGGAGUCCUGUUGUUUGGAAAAAACCCCAAAGCCCAUAGAGGAUUGAUUGAGCUAAAUGGAGGUGCUUUGGCACAGCCUUUGGGACACACUGCAGGUAUCUCAAGUCACGGAGGGCACUUUGCAGCAGCUUCUCAAGGCCCAUGUGUAGUGCAGCAGCUCUUCCACCACUCUUCUUCCCCUGCCCCUCGUUCCAGCCUGGGGCUGGAAGCACAUCUGCCCAGAGGUGAGAGCAGAGCUGCUCGGCUGCCAAAGUAGAACACAGCUCAGAAGUUCAUUCUGGGAUUGCCAUGCAGUGUGAAGAGGUACCCAUUGGCCAGAUGGGGCCUUUGCUUCAAAAGCGGUGGAAAGCUCAACGUCAGCGUGCAGCCCUGUGCCCUCCGGUGCUGGAAGGGGCUGCUCACCCUCAGCCAUACAGUUCUCCAUUUCUAUGGGCUGAAAGAUUUCAGAGCCUUGCUCUGGGAGCUGCCCAAGGUGUUGCUGAUGGCAUCUAAGAGAAAAGCAUGGAGCAGCGUUGCUGCGCACUGCUUAUGUGUAGCUAUGGUUACAGGAGUCUGUGUCAGAGUAUGUACGAUGUUACCAGGGAAAUCAGACGUGGUGGUGUCAACAGAUACUGCAGGAGCUCAUCCUCCAUCAGAGCAGAGCUCAGAAGCUCAGUGCAGACCCACACAGCAACCGGCAGCGAUAAGAAUAAAUGCCAUUUGGAGAAGAAAACCAUCCUACCCACGCGGAGGGAGGGGGGCCUGGCAGGGACAUGCAGCAGCACUCAGGGAGAGCUCACAGCAGUUUGGCCAAUCUGAUAAAGGAGAUGAAUCAUUCUGGAGUCAUCUGCUGCUAAAAUGAACCCAUCACAUAGAUGACAUGAGUGUCCUGAGAGAUGGUACAGCAGAGAACCCUUCUGUUGGUUUUAUGGGCCUGCAUCCGAGCGAGGUGGGUACCUUUCUGGGAUGGAACACACUUUGUUCAAAACUACUUCCACCCUUAAUGAACUUCCCAUAAGCAAAGUUUCCUGGCACAGAACUUUCCUUGUAGCUGUAAUUUGUCCGUGAACACUUUGUAUGCUAGAGUCUGGAAUAAAACACCCCUGUGCCAGAAAGAGACAAAUUUCAUCUGGCAGCGUGGGCUGCAUCACAAAUGUAUGCUGUUUGUAGGAAGAGAGGACCAAAGUGCACCUAGAAAGCAAUCGGUGCAACUGUUGACCCGUUCAUGAUCUAUCCCUGAUCAUCUCAUUUAAUCCAAAUCAAGCAUAAAACUUGGAAACACCUGAAGAAAUUCUUCAGUAAGAAGACUGAAUGCUGGCUGCCUAAACUCAAACACAACGGGACUCGUUAGAGCUGCAGGGCAAAGCCCCAUGGAUUUGGAAGUAACAAGAUGAGAACUCAUUGUAUGGAAAGAUCUGAGACUGCAACCCAAGACAUCCUCCCUCACGUUCUCAAGAACUUCCCCACAUGUUGGCAGUCUCAUGGUCCGUAUUUCAGAAGGGACAAGCAGACUGCGUAGACCUUCCAUCUCAUUUGGGCCAUGCACCUACUGACCACACGCCUGGCCAAGAGAGCUGUUGUGAAGUCAUCUACUUCAGACCCUGGAGACCUCUUCAGUAGGAGAUACCAUUUCCCAAGGAAUCUGUGCCUAGAUUUAACCACUGCUAAAAUGUGAACCUUAGUUCUGGACAAUACCAACAGCAAGCUGUCUGAAUUACCCCUUCCCUCUGAAUUAAGUCUGAGUACUAUUAUAAAAUCUUGAUAGAUCCAGUCCAAAA